rnacentral:tRNA from 1 species
AUUUGAAUGGCAAAGCCUGGUAAUUGCGUAAAACUUAAACUUUUAUUAUCAGAGGUUCAGUUCCUCUUCCCAAAA